UGGGGGCACUUUGUUUGUGUCCCACAAUGCUCUGCGCCGGCGGCCUGGCUGGGGAAGGGGAGGAGAAGGGGGCGGGGCGGAGCGCGCUCGGGGGCGGGGCUCGGGGCGGGGAAGGAAACGUGAUGAUUGCGCAAGCGCAGAAAAUGGGCCCUCUUGGCCGUCGGGACUUGUACUGUUGGUGACUCCGUCUCCUUAGACGGUGGAGCCUGCGUGACCCAGAAAGGCCAAAGGGCACACUAGCCAGCUGUUUUGCCACGAGAGUACACCGAACAAAGGAGACAGGGUUAUUUAUAACCUGACACGUCUACCCUACUGCUGUGUGUGGUUUCCAUUGCCUGGAAUAGGACCUGAAAUUCUGUAUUUGUCCCAACUGGCUAGCAACUUAGAACUUUCUAAAAGAGACAAAAGCAGAGGAGAACAAAGGAAGGAGGCAGUAACUUGUGGAAUGCUGAGA
rnacentral:lncRNA from 1 species